GGGAUCUUAGCUCAGCUGAGAGAGCAUCUGCCUUACGAGCAGAGGGUGCCAGGUUCGGGCCCUGUAGGUCCCA
rnacentral:tRNA from 1 species